ensembl:lncRNA
GGCUGACACAAAUGGUUGUCACACGCCAUCUAGUGGCUCUAUGAGAAAGUGUGCUCAUUUCCAGGGAAAGAUUUUUGGAGCCAGCUUGUCGGCUUCGGAAUUUCAGCGCCUGCCAGGAAACCAAUGUACGUUUGUCCAUCUUUAAGGCUUUAAACUGAGAGGGACCACUGAGGACAGCAUGCCAAAUUAUCUUCCAAAAUCUCUGUCCUAAGGAACACCUAGGAAGUAACUAUUCAGGGGAACUGUUUUCUUCCUGGAUUCGGAGCGAAACUGGGAAGUCAUCGGAGAAAGCUUUGCCUGCAACAGUUGUGGUAUAAAACAAGCCUCUAUGAGACACACUGUGGGUAUCCCUUGGUCCAUAGUCCUAUAUGCAAACCACUGAAGAGGGGAAGUGGACAGAGGAUUAAGAGUGUGUACUUUGUCACCAAACUCCCUGGCUCGGAAUCCUGGCUCUGUGACCUUUGGAAGCACACAUCUAUCUACUCCUUGAAGAAUCCUGACUCUUAAGGUGUCAAUUUGGAGGCAGUGGACAGAAGCACAUGAGGAUGGCCAUGCUCAGUUUAGCCACUCUGGCACUGAUGUGACGGAGUCUGUCCAGCUGGAGGAAGGGAAGGAGGCUGGGCAAUGUUACUAAAGAACCAUCACUUUUGCAAGAGAAAUUGAAAGCGAAACAAGCUAAGAUGUCAGUUUGGCACUCACUCUCACUGGGCCCAGCCUGGAGCAAGAACAUCUUUAGGUGACAUAACAAAGUCCUAAGGGUUUUUACUAUGUUAGGAAUAAAUGCUUUUGAUUACUGAUUAAAAUUUGCCUCACUAGCACCAACCUGAACCUUUCAGGAAGUGGGUUGUGACAAGUCCUAAUUAGUGUGAAAUUAUAGUUCUGAGUAAUGUUACAGCCAUGAUCCACAUGGACCUAUAAUACUGUGAAUCUCGAGGUAAGGAGAUUCACCCAGGCUCUUGUGAUUAUGUGGACUUGCACUCAAAUAUUGUUUCCCCAUCUCACUCCCAAACCCUGAAAAGCACUUUCCGCUCCAGUGAAAAGGCAUUAUCAAAUGGAAGAGACUUUGCAAGGAUUUCCCCUCCUUGUUUCCGAGACGUCAGCACAAGGCACAAUCUAAUGAAAGUGCUAUUAGAUGGUCUCCUGGAGAUCAUCUAUCCUGGAAACUGUCUAUCCACACAUCUCUGCCUAGGAGAGGAGAUCCCUGAUAAGGACACAGUGCCAGGUUGUAUCUCUUGGAGGUCCCCACCCCACCCCCGAUCUUAGGGAAAGUCUACUAUUUAAAGCUAUCACUGAACCCAGCAACAUAGUCUUCUGGCCUCAGGAAAAAGGCAAGAGAUAGGCUUUCACCUUUGGAAAUGCAACGUGAGCUCACCACUUUCACGUACUACCUGGGUAGUCUCCACACGUUAGUUGACCAUAAGUAACUUCCUGAAGAAGACUCUUGAGAGUCCCUUGGACUGCAAGGAGGUCCAGCCAGUCCAUCCUAAAGGAGAUCAGUCCUGGAUGUUCAUUGGAAGGACUGAUGCUAAAGCUGAAACUCCAAUACUUUGACCACCUCAUGCGAAGAGUUGACUCAUUGGAAAAGACCCUGAUGCUGGGAGGGCUUGGGGGCAGGAGGAGAGGGGAAAACAGAGGAUGAGAUGGCUGAUGGCAUCACUGACUCGAUGGACAGGAGUUUGGGUGAACUCCGGGAGUUGGUGAUGGACAAGGAGGCCUGGCGUGCUACUAUUCAUGGGGUCGCAAAGAGUCGGACAUGACUGAGUGACUGAACUGAACUGAACUGAACUUCCUGAACAAAAAUCUUUUUCCCUCCCAAGCAUCCAAAACUGGUGUCGGGUCUCUGCAUAAUCAUAGCUCAAAGCAUGUUGUCCAUUUCCUGAUAAGCCUAGGACAAAAUGAACAUAAAAUAUGGUGCUAUUUAAGGCUCCUUGUCUCACAGAUCAAAAAAUAGGGCCAUCACAGAAUGCCCCUGAAAGAGAAAAAUCUUGAAUCAUCCACCAGAGAUCUACAAGGCAGCUGUACCCCAAAGAGCCUGUGAGUCUCAGAGUCAAGCUGCAUUCUCUGUUCAGCCUCAGAGGAAGAGCCUUGAGCACACGCCGCUGGUCUGCCAGUCGAAGAGAUGUGGAGCUGGUGUUUGGAUUGAGUCCCUAAGCAAAGUGCCAGAAGCCCAGUUCACCUGACCGUCAGCCAUGUGGAGCCGCUGCCAGCCCUGGGUGUCUGCAGCAGCCCGAUGUAGCCGCCACGGACCCAGAGCAGCAGGCAGUGUGGAUGAUUGACAGAGUCAAGUGCCCCAGAGUUCCAUGACAGACCCAUGGAAAACCAAAGUCAGCCCAAGAGAUUCUUUCGGUGGAUCUAGGACGGACAGUGACAGCUGCGAGAGCGGAAUUACUCCAGAAACGCGUGAACUGGAAGACCAGCUUAGAAGGCAUGCCUCCAGCAAAGAUGUCAAUGGUCAGAAUUCAUCAAGAAUGAACCAGAAAUUAUAAAAACAAAGAAGAAGAGAGACGUCUCUCAGCUUGCUCAGAGUGGAGGGAACAAGCCACAUGGCUCAUUGAGAGAACACAGCAUCCACUGAGGCAAGCUCUGUGAACGUGACCCCUCCCUCUUCUCUCUCCAUUCUUCAACUCAGGGGGGCAGCAGUACACAGCUAACAUUCAGUAACACUGUGUUCACUGAAUUUAUGUUCACAUUUCCUUUCUACUUAUGGCAAACGAUGCUUUUUUUCAUCUUUAGUAGGAACAUCAAGAUUCCUUUUAAAAUGUGUGCUGUGUGUUAGUCACUCAGUCAUGUCUGACUUUUGCAACCCUCUGAACUGUAGCCCCCCAGGCUUCUCUGUCCAUGGAAUUCUCCAGGCAAGAAGACUGGAGUGGAUUGCCAUUCCCUUCUCCAGAGGAAUUUCCCAACCCAGGGAUCGAACCCUGGUCUCCUGCCUCGCAGGCAGAUUCUUUACCGUUUAAUUAAACAUAGUGAUUAAUUCAGAAUGUUAGGUAAGUGACAUUAGAAGCGGGACACAGAUGUUGCAAACUAAUGAGAGUCAUUUAGGAGAGAGCAGUGUUUGGGAAACCUGGGUCAGAUGGCUUCAGGGAUCCUCCUGCUUUAAAGCAAUAAAGGAUGGUGGUUACAAACAUGGGCUCUGGACUGCCUGAGUCUGAGUUCCUGGCCCUACCAUUUACAUGCGGAUAAACCUGAGCAGAUAACUUAAUCUUUCUGUGCCUCAUUUCUCUUAUCUAUGAAAUUGGAAUAAGAAUGCAUCUACUACUGCAAGAGACUGCUACACAUCCCACUU